rnacentral:tRNA from 1 species
GGAGAGAUGCCAGAGUGGUCGAAUGGGGCGGUCUUGAAAACCGCUGUACGCUGUAAGGUGUACCGUGGGUUCGAAUCCCACUCUCUCCG